UGGGGAAUAUUGCACAAUGGGCGCAAGCCUGAUGCAGCCAUGCCGCGUGUGUGAAGAAGGCCUUCGGGUUGUAAAGCACUUUCAGCGAGGAGGAAGGUGGUGAACUUAAUACGUUCAUCAAUUGACGUUACUCGCAGAAGAAGCACCGGCUAACUCCGUGCCAGCAGCCGCGGUAAUACGGAGGGUGUCAAGCGAUUAAUCGGAAGUUACUGGGCAGUAAAGCGCACGCAGGUCGGUUUGUUAAGUCAGAUGCUGAAAUCCCCGGGCUCAACCUGGGAACUGCAUUUGAAACUGGCAAGCUAGAGUCUCGUAGAGGGGGGUAGAAUUCCAGGUGUAGCGGUGAAAUGCGUAGAGAUCUGGAGGAAUACCGGUGGCGAAGGCGGCCCCCUGGACGAAGACUGACGCUCAGGUGCGAAAGCGUGGGGAGCAAACAGGAUUAGAUACCCUGGUAGUCCACGCUGUAAACGAUGUCGAUUUUGGAGGUUGUGCCCUUGAGGCGUGGCUUCCGGAGCUAACGCGUUAAAUCGACCGCCUGGGGAGUACGGCCGCAAGGUUAAAACUCAAAGGAAUUGACGGGGUCAUAGCUGUUUCCU
rnacentral:rRNA from 1 species